GGACGCGUGACAGUGAACACGCGCAGCCGUGAAGACGUUCUCGUUAGCUCGUUGGGCCCGCGCUUGUCUUCCCCCUGAGCCCCUCUGACCUGGCCGGUCCCUCCCUCUGCCUGGGCUGAGACAGAGCUCCCGGCGCUUCCAUGAGGACACUGGAGGAAGCACGGAGCCCCCUCUGCCUGGACGUCCAGGCAGCCCUGGGUUCAGAUUUCAGAAGAGUGGAUGUGCCUUCUGUAUCGUUUCAAGUUUUGGAGAAACUUCACCUUCAGUGUCUUUGGUGGUCUCCUGCCUCCCUCUGAAACUCAAGUUCAUACCUGGCUUGCCUGCCAACCUCAAGCAAGGACGAGUCACUCGUGGAACAGAGCCGUCCAGCCAAGCUGCUCCAACCCACCAGCCUGGAUCAACUAGCCCCCAGGCAACCCACGGACACGAUGAAAUGAAACCACUCCACGGGUCUUCAUGCUAGGAAAUAAUGGAAAAUCAUUUAUUUAAAUUAAAGCAAUUUAUUAGUCUUUUAUUUGCUAACAAGUUACCUUCAAUUAUUGAGAAUAUAAAACUAUUAAAAAGUGGUAUUCCCUUGGUUUGUUUUAAAUUAAUUAUUAUCAACUCAGCUCAGUGGAGUUUAUUAAGAAAUUAAAUCUUUAUGAAUAUAAAACACACUUAUAAGGAUAAAAAAUGAAAAAGCUACUUUAUCUGCCAAGUAGCUGAGAAUUUUAUAUUUAAAUUCAUUCAAAGUAGUUCUGAAGCAGUUUAAAUUCUGCAGAAUGUGAACACUCACUGACUCCUUCUUUAAGAGUUAGAAUGACUCACUUCUAUAUAUAAAAUAGGUAACUGAUUAGAAGCUCUGUGCAGCACAGGCAACUCCACUUAAUGCUCUCUGGUGACCUAAGCAGGGAAGGAAAUUUAGAAAGCAGUGGAUGUGUGUAUAUGUAUAACUGAUGUACUUUGCUGUUUAAAGAAAC
rnacentral:lncRNA from 1 species